rnacentral:lncRNA from 1 species
UUUAUGCUGCCUUUGCAUCAACGCACGUCAACUUAAGAAGCCCAGGCAAUGUUCUUUGUUUAUAAAACAGCUGCUCCGAAGCCUACAGGUCGGCAAUAUAUCAUGACUCAUCGCGCUUAAAACAUUCUGGUGGCACUGGGCUUGCUCGCACUACUGCACGCUUAGAUAUCCUUGACGUGCACUUUCCUAUCGAGUCCACAACAUAGAAAACGUAUCGAUCACGCAUUUUUAUGUGAGCAUAGGACCUGAGCCCGGUUUAUCAUAAAUUUGCGGGGACAACAAGAGUAAAGUGUGCACCGUAAGUGUGCAACUUUUUAUUGUGACGGGCUCCUGGGGCAUGCACACCUGCUGGAAUGCUUCGCACCCAAGCAGCGUAUCUCUUCCUAUUUGCUUUUGUCGCCCAAUCCCACUGUGCAAACGCCGGCGCAAAAGGUACCCCAAUGUUAAAUACAAAGUGCCUAAAGGAACCUACCGUAGAAGACUGCAAUACCAUUCUACUAAGCUGGAGCUAUAACAGUGAAAACAAAACAUGCGAGAAAGGCUUUGUUUGCAAUGACUGUGUUAACAGAUUUGAUGAUCAAAAUGAAUGCAAAAAAGUCUGCUCUAUGGUAAAAGCAAAAAAACCUAGACGCAACAAAAGAAACUGCAGAUACUGGAUGGCAUGGGGGGCAAGUUGUCAAGAUAAAUGGUUUGAAGAAAGGAAGACAAAGGCAGGAAAAAUGGAUCUAAUACUGUUUUUCACCGGCUGUGGAUCAGAAAAGAAAAAGUUAUAUGAAUACAGCUAUUCCCGGAAAAAAUGUCAUGGUAAGUAUAGCGAAGUCUCUUCGAAUAAUUUA